rnacentral:rRNA from 1 species
CCGACCGGGGGGCGCGGAUGCGGGGUGUUACGGAGGGGGAAAGUGUUAAGCGGAAUGCUUGGGGUGAAAGCGAACGCAGUUGGCGGAGUCGGGCGAUUGUGAAAGGCCUGGUCUUAACCUGGGAAUGGCCGUCGAUACUACUCAGCUAGAGUAUGGGAGAGGGUAGUGGAAGUCCCGGGGUAGCGGUGAAAUGCGUAGAUAUCGGGAGGAACAUCAGUGGCGAAGGCGGCUACCUGGCCCAAUACUGACACUCAGGUGCGACAGCGUGGGGAGCAAACAGGAUUAGAUACCCGAGUAGUC